CCUACGGGUGGCAGCAGUGAGGAAUAUUGGUCAAUGGCCGGAAGGCUGUACCAGCCAAGCCGCGUGAAGGACGAAGGUGCCAAGCAUUGUAAACUUCUUUUGUCAAGGGACAAAAUUAGGCUCGAGAGCCUGACCGAGGGUACUUGAAGAAAAAGCAUCGGCUAACUCCGUGCCAGCAGCCGCGGUAAUACGGAGGAUGCGAGCGUUAUCCGGAUGUAUUGGGUGUAAAGGGUGCGUAGGCGGACUGUUAAGUUAGCGGGAAAAGGCCCGGGCUCAAACCCGGACGGGCCGUUGAAACUGGCUGGCUUGAGAUGUCGAGAGGUAUGCGGAAUGCGCAGUGUAGCGGUGAAAUGCUUAGAUAUUGCGCAGAACUCCGAUUGCGAAGGCAGCAUACCGGCGGCGAUCUGACGCUGAGGCACGAAAGCGUGGGUAUCGAACAGGAUUAGAUACCCGUGUAGUC
rnacentral:rRNA from 1 species